UACAGAGGUCUCAAGCGUUGUUCGGAUUCAUUGGGCGUAAAGGGUGCGUAGGCGGCGCGGUAAGUCGGGUGUGAAAUUUCGAGGCUUAACUUCGAAACUGCAUUCGAUACUGCCGUGCUUGAGGACUGGAGAGGAGACUGGAAUUUACGGUGCAGCGGUGAAAUGCGUAGAUAUCGUAAGGAAGACCAGUGGCGAAGGCGGGUCUCUGGACAGACACUGACGCUGAGGCGCGAGAGCGUGGGGAGCAAACAGG
rnacentral:rRNA from 1 species